GGCUGAAAUUCGCCUUCAUGAAGCUGGAAUUGCUAGUAAUGGCAGGUCAGCAUACUGCCGUGAAUACGUUCCCGGGCCUUGUACACACCGCCCGUCACACCAUGAGAGUUGGAAAUGCCCGAAGUCUGUGACCCAACCUGAGAGGGAGGGAGCAGCCGAAGGCAGGUCUGAUGACUGGGGUGAAGUCGUAACAAGGUAAC
rnacentral:rRNA from 1 species